rnacentral:rRNA from 1 species
GGGAAUCUACCUAGUUCUGCGGAACAACAGUUGGAAACGACUGCUAAUACCGCAUACGCCCUACGGGGGGAAGAUUUAUCGGAAUUAGAUGAGCCCGCGUAAGAUUAGCUAGUUGGUGGGGUAAUGGCCUACCAAGGCGACGAUCUUUAGCUGGUCUGAGAGGAUGAUCAGCCACACUGGGACUGAGACACGGCCCAGACUCCUACGGGAGGCAGCAGUGGGGAAUAUUGGACAAUGGGCGCAAGCCUGAUCCAGCCAUGCCGCGUGAGUGAUGAAGGCCUUAGGGUUGUAAAGCUCUUUCAGUGGGGAAGAUAAUGACGGUACCCACAGAAGAAGCCCCGGCUAACUUCGUGCCAGCAGCCGCGGUAAUACGAAGGGGGCUAGCGUUGUUCGGAUUUACUGGGCGUAAAGCGCACGUAGGCGGAUUGUUAAGUCAGGGGUGAAAUCCUGGAGCUCAACUCCAGAACUGCCUUUGAUACUGGCAAUCUCGAGUCCGGAAGAGGUGAGUGGAACUCCUAGU